rnacentral:rRNA from 1 species
CACGUAGGGGGCGAGCGUUGUCCGGAUUUACUGGGCGUAAAGGGCGCGCAGGCGGCCGUGUUUGUCAGGCGUGAAAGCCCCGGGCUUAACCUGGGAAUGGCAUUUGGGACUGCAAGGCUUGAGUGCGGCAGAGGAGACUGGAAUUCCUGGUGUAGCAGUGAAAUGCGUAGAUAUCAGGAGGAAUACCGAUGGCGAAGGCAGGUCUCUGGGCUGACACUGACGCUCAUGCACGAAAGCGUGGGGAGCAAACAGG